CGGGUGAGUAACGCGUAAGUAAUCUACCCUCGCAUUUGGGAUAACCCACCGAAAGGUGUGCUAAUACCGGAUACGUCUAUUUUAAUAUCUUUUUUAUAGAGAAAGGUGGCCUCUGAUUCAAGCUACUGUGCGGGGAGGAGCUUGCGUACCAUUAGCUAGUUGGUAGGGUAAUGGCCUACCAAGGCAACGAUGGUUAGCGGGUCUGAGAGGAUGAUCCGCCACACUGGAACUGAAACACGGACCAG
rnacentral:rRNA from 1 species